GACAGAGGAUGCAAGCGUUAUCCGGAAUCAUUGGGCGUAAAGAGCGUGUAGGCGGCUCGGUAAGUCCGCUGUGAAAGUCCAGGGCUCAACCCUGGAAUGCCGGUGGAAACUGUCGAGCUCGAGUCCGGAAGAGGCGAGUGGAAUUCCUGGUGUAGCGGUGAAAUGCGCAGAUAUCAGGAGGAACACCAAUGGCGAAGGCAGCUCGCUGGGACGGUACUGACGCUGAGACGCGAAAGCGUGGGGAGCAAACAGG
rnacentral:rRNA from 1 species